ensembl:snRNA
GUGUUGUAUGAAAGGAGAGAAGGUUAGCCCUUGAUAAGGAUGGAAAAGGCCCUUGGGCCUGAUGACACAUAUAUGGUUAAGGCACUGCCAUCUACUUUGUGGUAUCUAACCAUCAUUUCUG